UCGAAACAGGACGCGUGAUGUCGCUAAUUGCAAAAUCUCCUGCAGUGAUUCCCACAAGAGACUUGUAACAGUAUCUGCGAGACUUUGAUGAGUGCAUUUGUCUUUCUCUCAGUUUAAAGCUCUAACAAGAGAAUGGACAAACCUCUCGCGACUCUAUUUGUGACAUCACUCAUCAUCGCCAUUGCAUUUGGGCAAGGUGCAAUAAUCCAAGGGCCUGCAAUCCUACCAGUCUCUGCUCAAGCAAAGUUCACUUGUGUUGCCAACAGCAGUCUCAAUGUCACCGAAAUA